ACGCUCGACACCUACGGAGACAGCAGUGGGGAAUAUUGCACAAUGGGGGAAACCCUGAUGCAGCGACGCCGCGUGAGCGAAGAAGUAUUUCGGUAUGUAAAGCUCUAUCAGCAGGGAAGAAAAUGACGGUACCUGACUAAGAAGCCCCGGCUAACUACGUGCCAACAGCCGCGGUAAUCUGAGCGGGCUGGCAAGGC
rnacentral:rRNA from 1 species